rnacentral:rRNA from 1 species
GUGGGGAAUAUUGGGCAAUGGGCGAAAGCCUGACCCAGCGACGCCGCGUGGGGGAUGAAGGUCUUCGGAUCGUAAACCCCUGUCAGGGGAGACGAACGCUUCAUGGCGAAUAGCCGUGGAGCUUGACGGUACCCCCAAAGGAAGCCCCGGCUAACUCCGUGCCAGCAGCCGCGGUAAUACGGAGGGGGCAAGCGUUAUUCGGAAUUACUGGGCGUAAAGCGCGCGCAGGUGGCGCGGUAAGUGGCAGGUGAAAUCCCUCGGCUCAACCGAGGAACCGCCUGCCAAACUGCCAUGCUUGAGGCCGGGAGGGGAAAGCGGAAUUCCUGGUGUAGCGGUGAAAUGCGUAGAUACCAGGAGGAACACCGGUGGCGAAGGCGGCUUUCUGGACCGGUUCUGACACUCAUGCGCGAAAGCGUGGGGAGCAAACAGGAUUAGAAACCCUAGUAGUCC